GAAAUAAAUUUAAUUUAGAUUUCUAAUCUAAAAUUUAAUGAAAAUUCAUUAUUAUUUCU
rnacentral:tRNA from 1 species